rnacentral:rRNA from 1 species
AUAGCGACUAUCGUGGCAUAUCAAUAAGCGGAGGAAAAGAAACUAACAAGGAUUCCCCUAGUAACGGCGAGUGAAGCGGGAAGAGCUCAAAUUCGAAAUCUUAAAGGGUUUCCCUUUACGAAUUGUAGUUUAAAGAAGUGUUUUCUGUUGGAGUUUCGGUAAAAGUUCUUUGGAAUAGGACAUCAUAGAGGGUGAGAAUCCCGUAUUUGACCGUUACUUUCCAGCUGUGUGAUACACUUUCAAAGAGUCGGAUUGUUUGGGAAUGCAGUCCAAAAUGGGUGGUAAAUUUCAUCUAAAGCUAAAUAUUGGCGAGAGACCGAUAGCGAACAAGUACCGUGAGGGAAAGAUGAAAAGAACUUUGAAAAGAGAGUUAAACAGUACGUGAAAUUGUCAAAAGGGAAGCGUUUGACACCAGUGUUGUUUAGUUGAAAAUCAAUUCAAUAAUUUUUGAUUUUAAGUAGUAUUGACUUCAUCAGCUUGCUGCUUUCUUUUCAGGAAUUAUUGAAUGCACUUUUCAGUUAACAAGUCAACAUCAAUUUCUUUUGUUGUAAAAGGGUAAGAGGAAGGUGGCUUACGCUUCGGCGUAAGUGUUUAUAGCCUUUUACCUCUGCAAUCGGAGAGAUUGAGGACAGCAGCGUAGACUCCUUCGGGGGUUAGAUACACUUGUGCUAAGCUAUAGCCUUGUAUAGACAACUUGUUGACUAUGCUCAGUCAUGUAGCUUACUCACUUGUGCUAUUUUACCUACGCUUAGGAUGUUGAAGAUAUGCGCGACACG